rnacentral:rRNA from 1 species
UACGUAGGGUCCGAGCGUUGUCCGGAAUUAUUGGGCGUAAAGGGCUCGUAGGCGGUUUGUCGCGUCGGGAGUGAAAACACCGGGCUUAACUCGGUGCUUGCUUUCGAUACGGGCAGACUGGAGGUAUGCAGGGGAGAACGGAAUUCCUGGUGUAGCGGUGAAAUGCGCAGAUAUCAGGAGGAACACCGGUGGCGAAGGCGGUUCUCUGGGCAUGUCCUGACGCUGAGGAGCGAAAGUGUGGGGAGCGAACAGG